UGGGGAAUUUUGCACAAUGGGGGAAACCCUGAUGCAGCGACGCCGCGUGAUUUAGAAGGCCUUCGGGUUGUAAAAAUCUUUUCUAUGGGAAGAAAAUGACAGUACCAUAGGAAUAAGGACCGGCUAAUUACGUGCCAGCAGCCGCGGUAAUACGUAAGGUCCGAGCGUUGUCCGGAAUCAUUGGGCGUAAAGGGUACGUAGGCGGGUAAGCAAGUUAGAAGUGAAAUCCUGUAGCUCAACUACAGUAAGCUUUUAAAACUGCUCAUCUUGAGAUAUGGAACGGAAAGUGGAAUUCCUAGUGUAGCGGUGAAAUGCGCAGAUAUUAGGAGGAAUACCGUUGGCGAAGGCGACUUUCUGGCCAUAAUCUGACGCUGAGUUACGAAAGCGUGGGUAGCAAACAGG
rnacentral:rRNA from 1 species